GACGAACGCUGGCGGCGCGCUUAACACAUGCAAGUCGAGCGAGCGGCGGACGGGUGAGUAACACGUGAGUAACCUGCCUUAGACAUUGGGAUAGCCUCGGGAAACCGGGUAUAAUACCGGAUAGUGCAAGAUGAGGUCGGGGCCUAUCAGCUUGUUGGUGGGGUAAUGGAUACCAAGGCGCGACGGGUAGCCGGACUUGGAGUGUGUACGGCCACAGUUGGAACAGGGAACGGGCCAGAGUCCAACUGGAGGAAGGGGUGGGGGAUUGUGGGAGAUGGGCGGAAUGCUGGUGCAGGGACGCCGGGUGGGGGAGGAAGGCCUUCGGGUUGUAAACUCCUUUCGACAGGGACGCGGUACCUGUAUAAGAAGCACCGGCUAACUACGUGCCAGCAGCCGCGGUAAUAC
rnacentral:rRNA from 1 species